CCUCCCAUUCCCUCCCCCUUUCUUUUCCUUUUUAUUUUCUUUUUUUCUUUUUUUCAACUCUUUCUUUCGACUCGAGAAAGAAACUUUCGACUGGUUGUCCUAUAUCAAAGCCCGUGUCAGGAAUUAUUUAUGAUUAAAUACGCGCUUGGUCGAAGAAGAAGAAGAGGAGGUGGAGGAUUAAAAGAGACAUGUCCGAUGCAGAGGUAAUCGUCACGGAGAAUGAUGAGAUUCAAAAUGAGAUUGAGGAGGACCGGAAGGAGGAGGAUGAGGAUCAACGGAAGAGGAGAUCGACUUCGGUAGAUUCGGAAAUCGUCGAUGAGCUUCGGCUUCUGUCACCAAAGGAAAAAGAGCAAAAACAAGCUCAAGAAGAAAAAGUAGAAGAAGCCAAAGAAGAAGAAGAGGAAGAGAAAG